rnacentral:lncRNA from 1 species
UGUGAGCUAUCCUCCAGGACAGAAAUCAUAACCUUCUAGUGAACACAGCACUUAUUUUGGUGGAGGGCAAUCUAUGGAGAAGAAGGCAAAUGUGAGCUAUUGGCACUAAACACCAUGGCUGGUAGAAGUGGUCUGGGGCUGGCAUCAGCAGCAUCUAUAGAGCUGCAUGGUGUGAAAUAAUGUUUAUGAUAGAAAUUGCUACCAUUUAAUAAGCACCUACUACAUACCAAGUGCUGUACCAAAUUGUGCGUAUGUGUGCACACGUACACAUGUGUGUUUGUUGUAUACUUCUUAGAAUACACCUACUACAAAGGUGAUGGUGAUUUUGUCUCAGCAAUGAGGAAAAUAACUAAGACAACAACCAACACAGAAAGUACUGGAAUCUGGUAGAGCACUCUUCUUGCCUCCACCUUUAACACUGAAACUGCCUCCUAGGGACUUUGACAAGUUUGACAAGUGGCAAAACAAUUCAGAAGUUUCUUUGCUGGCUGAUGAUAGGGCACAAACAUGCUGCUGGUGAUUAUAAAAUGAAACUUUAGAUUACAGGCUGAAAUAUCAGGUUUCUU